CACACAGCAUGCUUUCCAUUCCUAGCUCACCAGAACCAGGAAGCAGAAGUUGAAGAGAGAGAGAGAGAGAUGACGGCGGCGACCAUCAUCACUGACGACGGAACCUCUGGCGAGGGCUUGAAGAUCGUGUGGAACUAGCCCUAACAAAGGUUGAAGAUGGAGUACAGGAAGGCUGGGCUUGGCUUCCCAUACAUUCAUCCCUUGAAGCAAGGCGUGGUAUUGGCUUUCCAUCUCUGCGUCUCCGCAUUCCAACACGCCAAGACCGACUCCAUGUCUAUUAUCCUUGCUUGCUCUCACGUCUCGUUAUUAGAAGAAUGAAGCUAUUCAAUGUUCUAGAACACAA